GCAUUGGUAGUUCAGUGGUAGAGUUCUCACCUUCUAUGCAGCAGACCUGGGUUCAAUUCCCAGCCAAUGCA
rnacentral:tRNA from 1 species